AACGUAGGACGCAAGCGUUAUCCGGAGUUACUGGGCGUAAAGCGCGGGCAGGCGGUCUGGCAAGUUCGAUGUGAAAUCUCUCAGCUCAACUGGGAGCAGCUAUUGAAAACUACCUGACUAGAGGACAGCAGAGGUAAGCGGAAUUCCGGGUGGAGCGGUGAAAUGCGUAGAGAUCCGGAGGAACACCAGAGGCGAAGGCGGCUUACUGGGCUGACCCUGAUGCUGAGCCGCGAAAGCCAGGGGAGCGAACGGG
rnacentral:rRNA from 1 species